rnacentral:SRP_RNA from 1 species
GCUGAGCUCGGUAACGUGGGCUUGUCACCAAGUGGAGCAUUAAGGUAUUUGGAUAAUUUGGUAUUGAAUUCAAGGUUUACAUUAUGAGCUAGCUUUGAUUUGCCCGUUUCCAAGUGGGCAGUGGAUGCUAUGUUUCAGGCUAAUGCUUGAAUCAUAUUCUCCCUAAACUUGAGGGUAAUGCGUGAUGCUGGCUGGCUUCACAGAGCAGCGAUUACCUCUCACUCUCAACGGUGGAAGGAUUACAAGUCAUUUGCUCAUAUUGUCAAUUACACUUGGAAUCCACCAAAUUCAACAAAUAUUUUU